UACGGAGGGUGCAAGCGUUAAUCGGAAUUACUGGGCGUAAAGCGUGCGCAGGCGGUUCGGAAAGAAAGAUGUGAAAUCCCAGGGCUUAACCUUGGAACUGCAUUUUUAACUGCCGGGCUAGAGUAUGUCAGAGGGGGGUAGAAUUCCACGUGUAGCAGUGAAAUGCGUAGAGAUGUGGAGGAAUACCGAUGGCGAAGGCAGCCCCCUGGGAUGAUACUGACGCUCAUGCACGAAAGCGUGGGGAGCAAACAGG
rnacentral:rRNA from 1 species